rnacentral:rRNA from 1 species
GAUGAACGCUGGCGGCGUGCCUAAUACAUGCAAGUCGAGCGAACAGACGAGGAGCUUGCUCCUUUGACGUUAGCGGCGGACGGGUGAGUAACACGUAGGUAACCUACCUAUAAGACUGGGAUAACUUCGGGAAACCGGAGCUAAUACCGGAUAAUAUUUCGAACCGCAUGGUUCGAUAGUGAAAGAUGGCUUUGCUAUCACUUAUAGACGGACCUGCGCCGUAUUAGCUAGUUGGUAAGGUAACGGCUUACCAAGGCAACGAUACGUAGCCGACCUGAGAGGGUGAUCGGCCACACUGGAACUGAGACACGGUCCAGACUCCUACGGGAGGCAGCAGUAGGGAAUCUUCCGCAAUGGGCGAAAGCCUGACGGAGCAACGCCGCGUGAGUGAUGAAGGUCUUCGGAUCGUAAAACUCUGUUAUUAGGGAAGAACAAACGUGUAAGUAACUGUGCACGUCUUGACGGUACCUAAUCAGAAAGCCACGGCUAACUACGUG